rnacentral:rRNA from 1 species
UACGGGGGGGGCAAGCGUUGUUCGGAAUUACUGGGCGUAAAGGGCUCGUAGGCGGCCAACUAAGUCGGACGUGAAAUCCCCAGGCUCAACCUGGGAACUGCGUCCGAUACUGGAUGGCUUGAAUCCGGGAGAGGGAUGCAGAAUUCCAGGUGUAGCGGUGAAAUGCGCAGAUAUCAGGAGGAACACCGGUGGCGAAGGCGGAUCUCUGGGCCUUACCUGACGCUCAGGCGCGAAAGCUAGGGGAGCGAACUGG